CGGCAGGGCGGCGUGCUAUACAUGCAGUCGAGCGGACCGACGGGAGCUUGCUCCCUUAGGUCAGCGGCGGACGGGUGAGUAACACGUGGGUAACCUGCCUGUAAGACUGGGAUAACUCCGGGAAACCGGGGCUAAUACCGGAUGCUUGAUUGAACCGCAUGGUUCAAUCAUAAAAGGUGGCUUUCAGCUACCACUUGCAGAUGGACCCGCGGCGCAUUAGCUAGUUGGUGAGGUAACGGCUCACCAAGGCGACGAUGCGUAGCCGACCUGAGAGGGUGAUCGGCCACACUGGGACUGAGACACGGCCCAGACUCCUACGGGAGGCAGCAGUAGGGAAUCUUCCGCAAUGGACGAAAGUCUGACGGAGCAACGCCGCGUGAGUGAUGAAGGUUUUCGGAUCGUAAAACUCUGUUGUUAGGGAAGAACAAGUACCGUUCGAAUAGGGCGGCACCUUGACGGUACCUAACCAGAAAGCCACGGCUAACUACGUGCCAGCAGCCGCGGUAAUACGUAGGUGGCAAGCGUUGUCCGGAAUUAUUGGGCGUAAAGCGCGCGCAGGCGGUUUCUUAAGUCUGAUGUGAAAGCCCCCGGCUCAACCGGGGAGGGUCAUUGGAAACUGGGGAACUUGAGUGCAGAAGAGGAGAGUGGAAUUCCACGUGUAGCGGUGAAAUGCGUAGAGAUGUGGAGGAACACCAGUGGCGAAGGCGACUCUCUGGUCUGUAACUGACGCUGAGGCGCGAAAGCGUGGGGAGCGAACAGGAUUAGAUACCCUGGUAGUCCACGCCGUAAACGAUGAGUGCUAAGUGUUAGAGGGUUUCCGCCCUUUAGUGCUGCAGCAAACGCAUUAAGCACUCCGCCUGGGGAGUACGGUCGCAAGACUGAAACUCAAAGGAAUUGACGGGGGCCCGCACAAGCGGUGGAGCAUGUGGGUUUAAUUCGAAGCAACGCGAAGAACCUUACCAGGUCUUGACAUCCUCUGACACUCUAGAGAUAGGGCUUCCUCUUCGGGGGCAGAGUGACAGG
rnacentral:rRNA from 1 species